rnacentral:rRNA from 1 species
GACGAACGCUGGCGGCGUGCUUAACACAUGCAAGUCGAACGAAAAGAGGGAAAGAGCUUGCUCUUUCCGGAAUUGAGUGGCAAACGGGUGAGUAACACGUAAACAACCUGCCUUCAGGAUGGGGACAACAGACGGAAACGACUGCUAAUACCGAAUAAGUUCCAAGGGCCGCAUGGCCCAUGGAAGAAAAGGUGGCCUCUACCUGUAAGCUAUCGCCUGAAGAGGGGUUUGCGUCUGAUUAGCUGGUUGGAGGGGUAACGGCCCACCAAGGCGACGAUCAGAAGCGGGGCAGAGAGGGUGAACGGCCACACGGGAAGUGAGACACGGUCCAGACUACUACGGGAGGAAGCAGUGGGGAAUCUGCGGAAAUGGGCGAAAGCCUGACGGAGCAACGCCGCGGGAGUGAUGACGGACUUCGGGAUGAAAAACUCUGUGAUCCGGGACGAAAAGGCAGAGUGCGAAGAACAAACUGCAUUGACGGUACCGGAAAAGCAAGCCACGGCUAACUACGU